UACAGAGGUCUCAAGCGUUGUUCGGAUUCAUUGGGCGUAAAGGGUGUGUAGGUGGCGCGCUAAGUCGGGUGUGAAAUUUCGGAGCUUAACUUCGAAACUGCAUUCGAUACUGGCGUGCUUGAGGACUGGAGAGGAGACUGGAAUUUACGGUGUAGCAGUGAAAUGCGUAGAUAUCGUAAGGAAGACCAGUGGCGAAGGCGGGUCUCUGGACAGUUCCUGACACUGAGACACGAAGGCCAGGGGAGCAAACGGG
rnacentral:rRNA from 1 species